GAAGAAUAAGGAGAAGAAGAAUAAUUUCUUGAUUUGGUAGAAUGAAAACGGAGGAAGAAAAAGCUUCCACAGAAAAACAGAGGAAAAAAGAAGGAUAAAGAGAUUUCAGCGGGUUCUUAGCAAUGGCUUCCAUUUAUAAUUGAUUUGUAGGUUUGCUUCUGAUCUUAACUGUUGAUCAGAACAUAUAGAUGGCCGGCUGACAGUCUGUUGAGCAGGUGGUUGAUGGCGGGUCGAGCAGCUGAUCCACGGAGAGGGGGUUGUACCUGCAGGUGCUCCGAUGCCAAAGUUAGAGAAGGAAUGAGAGCAAAUGAGAUACAAGAGAAAGAAAGUAAUUGAAUGAAUGAAUAGUGUUUUUUAGCUCCACUGUAUAUGAGAGCUUAUAUAGCCCUCAGCUCUGGGCCAAAGGUCCUCUUAUUGGGUUGGAUCAAGUCAGGCCCAAUAAAAUGGACUGCCAAGAUAUUACCCCUAGAUAGUGGGUGAAGCAGGAAUCUGCUCCUAUCUUGGUGGAUAGGUUCCAUCAUGUUCUGCUGAUAUGGAUGUGGUGGGACAAGCUGUCAUGGACUUAGGGGGUAUGAAGUGGACUGGUUCUAGUCUAGUUCAGAACAGCUUCUAUCAAUAUUCAGUGUAGAUUCAAAGACUUUAGCGUCGUCAACAUUGCAGACCUGAAUGCAUGACUAUUCUAGAUAUUUGAAUUUUUUUCAUAUUAAA